rnacentral:rRNA from 1 species
UACGAAGGGGGCUAGCGUUGCUCGGAAUCACUGGGCGUAAAGGGUGCGUAGGCGGGUCUUUAAGUCAGGGGUGAAAUCCUGGAGCUCAACUCCAGAACUGCCUUUGAUACUGACGAUCUGGAGAUCGGGAGAGGUUGGUGGAAUUCCGAGUGUAGAGGUGAAAUUCGUAGAUAUUCGGAGGAACACCAGAAGCGAAGGCGGCCAACUGGCCCGAUACUGACGCUGAGGCGCGAAAGCGUGGGGAGCAAACAGG